GACGAACGCUGGCGGCGUGCUUAACACAUGCAAGUCGAACGGAAAGGCCCUGCUUUUGUGGGGUGCUCGAGUGGCGAACGGGUGAGUAACACGUGAGUAACCUGCCCUUGACUUUGGGAUAACUCCAGGAAACUGGGGCUAAUAUCGGAUAGGAGCUCCUGCUGCAUGGUGGGGGUUGGAAAGUUUCGGCGGUUGGGGAUGGACUCGCGGCUUAUCAGCUUGUUGGUGGGGUAGUGGCUUACCAAGGCUUUGACGGGUAGCCGGCCUGAGAGGGUGACCGGCCACAUUGGGACUGAGAUACGGCCCAGACUCCUACGGGAGGCAGCAGUGGGGAAUAUUGCACAAUGGGCGGAAGCCUGAUGCAGCAACGCCGCGUGCGGGAUGACGGCCUUCGGGUUGUAAACCGCUUUCGCCUGUGACGAAGCGUGAGUGACGGUAAUGGGUAAAGAAGCACCGGCUAACUACGUG
rnacentral:rRNA from 1 species